rnacentral:rRNA from 1 species
UACGAAGGGGGCUAGCGUUGCUCGGAAUCACUGGGCGUAAAGGGUGCGUAGGCGGGUUUUUAAGUCAGAGGUGAAAUCCUGGAGCUCAACUCCAGAACUGCCUUUGAAACUGAAAGUCUUGAGUAUGGGAGAGGUGAGUGGAACUGCGAGUGUAGAGGUGAAAUUCGUAGAUAUUCGCAAGAACACCAGUGGCGAAGGCGGCUCACUGGCCCAUUACUGACGCUGAGGCACGAAAGCGUGGGGAGCAAACAGG